GACGAACGCUGGCGGCGUGCCUAAUACAUGCAAGUAGAACGCUGAAGAGAGGAGCUUGCUCUUCUUGGAUGAGUUGCGAACGGGUGAGUAACGCGUAGGUAACCUGCCUUGUAGCGGGGGAUAACUAUUGGAAACGAUAGCUAAUACCGCAUAACAAUGGAUGACACAUGUCAUUUAUUUGAAAGGGGCAAUUGCUCCACUACAAGAUGGACCUGCGUUGUAUUAGCUAGUAGGUGAGGUAAUGGCUCACCUAGGCGAAGAUACAUAGCCGACCUGAGAGGGUGCUCGGCCACCCUGGGACUGAGACACGGCCCAGACUCCUACGGGAGGCAGCAGUAGGGAAUCUUCGGCCAUGGGGGCAACCCUGACCGAGCAACGCCGCGUGAGUGGAGAAGGUUUUCGGAUCGUAAAGCUCUGUUGUAAGUCAAGAACGGGUGUGAGAGUGGAAAGUUCACACUGUGACGUUAGCUUACCAGAAAGGGACGGCUAACUACGUG
rnacentral:rRNA from 1 species